rnacentral:rRNA from 1 species
UACGGGGGGGGUAAGCGUUGUUCGGAAUUACUGGGCGUAAAGGGCUCGUAGGCGGCCAACUAAGUCAUACGUGAAAUCCCUCAGCUUAACUGGGGAACUGCGUGUGAUACUGGAUGGCUUGGAUUUGGGAGAGGGAUGCGGAAUUCCAGGUGUAGCGGUGAAAUGCGUAGAUAUCUGGAAGAACACCGGUGGCGAAGGCGGCAUCCUGGACCAAUAUUGACGCUGAGGAGCGAAAGCCAGGGGAGCAAACGGG